rnacentral:lncRNA from 1 species
CUUUGAUCUAUUUAGAAUUUGUCCACAUGUAUUGAUUCAGCUUCGUCUUUUCCAGAUAGCUACCCAGUUGCCCCAACUCUAUGUAUUCACUAUUUGACUCUCCCAUUUAAGUACAUAUAUUACCAUGAUAAAAAAAAAGUAAAUUAAAAAAAAGAUGGAGGGGCAGAGAAGCCCUCCAGAUGGCCUCAAGUGAAGAGAGAAAGGAGGAAGGGGGAAGGUCAUGUCCUUCUUCCCAGCAUCUGAGUCCUCGCGCUGUCAGUCAGAUGGUCAUCUCUGUAGAGAUGUCUCACCUGGUGGCUGUUUUGUCAGGAGGGAUAUUUGGCUGUAAUGAGGGGCUCACUGGUGGGAUCUGGCCAAGCUCAGACCCUGGAAUGGUGAGUUGGAUCCCAGACCCUGGGAGGGAUGACAGCAGGAGCCACUCCUGGAAAUUCCCUGUCGCAGGAUGACUCAGCUCUAACUGCCUUCCUGCAUGACGGCACUUAGGGUUCCAGUCCCUGGGAGAGAGAACUUGAUUGGCCCCACUUGGCCGCUCAUCCAUCCCCUGUCAGCAGGAGUCCAAUCCUAGGAUUAGCUGGACACCAGAACCAAGUGGGCGGGGGUGGGGAGGAGCAGUUUCUCCAGUGGAAGAGAUGCCAAGCAACAAAACCAAACAAAGUCCCUGCAGCGGCUGUCCACAACAUUUGUAUAAGUAGUAACAAUAAAAAUAGCAGUUAUUCGCGGACUGCUUCUAUAGGCCAGGAACCAUGUUAAGUGUUUAAUCUCAUUUACAUCUCUCUCCCCAGCUGUGUGAGGUUGACAGGCGAGGAAACUGAGGCUGAAGAGAGGCUAAGAGACUUCUCUGACAGCUAGUAAAUGGCAUAACUAGGAUACACGCCUGGUUGUGUCUACCCCCACUCAGACUCUGCCUUUUGACCGCUCAGGGGUAUUGCCCUAUAAGUAGGAAUGAAUGUUUUCCUCGGCGUAACUCAGCUUCUGUGCCCUGCAUCCCUGUCUAUUGUCCUCCAUGGGCUUUGAACAUGGCGGUAGAUGAUUGUUCUGAUACCCAGGGGGCUCCUUCAGGUCUUAUUCAUUCUGGUGCUUGUUGCCUGCUCUCAUGGUAAGCACCUGGUGUCUACAGCACCCCUAAGGGCAAAGCUUUCUCAUUCAUUCUCUCCUCACAGCCAUCUUCGGGCAAGGUCCUUUGGCCUGGGCCAGACAACCCUACCAGGGAACCAUCUCCUGCUCUAUCUGCAGCCCUCCCUCAGACCCUGAGCCAAUGCCUGGACCCUCUUGUGCACCUCAACUCUCUCUUCCCUUGGGAUGGGGUCCCUCUCCAUCGGGGGUGCUGCAUGGGAGACUGAGGGGCAGCCAAUGGCCCACUGGUGUUAAUAGCCCCACCCUCUAGAUAAUGAACUACCCCUUCAAUAGGGCCCACUCAUCUGUGUGCAAACAUUUCCUACCCUUCCACCUGCCCUGGGGUCCCUGCCGCCUGCCUGGAUGGCUGAAUUGGAACUGAGUGCCCCAUCAAAUCCUCUGGCACCCGCCCUACACUACAUCUUUCCUAGCUCCUCCAGCCCCAGGCAGCCCAUCAGCAAGGGUCUUCUGAGAGAUUUGAUGAGACCAGCAGCAUGCUGAGCUGAACCCUCUUUGGACACACCCAAGCCUGGAAUGUCUUCUCCUUCCAGCUCCCUCCCUUUGUGAUUCAGAAACUACAAAAUUCUGCUGUUCCCUAGGCUGGGCAGCUCCUGUCGGGUGGGGUCUGGAGCUUGCCUCCAGUUGUAGAAAUACAGUGAUUGAGUUUGAACACUAAAAUUACACAUUCAGCAUUGCAAAAGUGCUGCUCCUCCAAAUGAGAUCUUUUCAGGACUGAGUGACUCACUGGUCCUCCCCUUUGGAGGUGCUGUGUUGUACGCACAGGCUGCGUGCAGUGUGUCUCAGAGUGGCACAGAAGCUCCCUCUGAGCAUUCAUGAUGGUCACUUGCAGCUGGAGAUGACCACAGGGAUGCUUUCUCCUGAGUGAUCUAGGGGUGGGAAUGCUGGCAGGUCUCGGGGGCUGCAGAGAAACUUCUCUCCCCAUCUGUACCCAUGAGGGAGCAUGAUAACAAUGACCAGGGUUCACAGGGGACUGGGCUUAGUCAUAAGCUGGUCCUAGGCUGGGCUCUGAGGCCGUGCAUAUCAUGGCUCCAUUACCUCUCCAAACCAUCGCCUGCCCCAUUCCACCUUCUCAGCGAGGGCAAGACUGAGGACCCUAUUUAAAACAUAGCCUGACUCCAGGAUUCCAGAGUCCUCUUCCCUGAUCCUUUUCCCCCCAGAGCUCUUAAACAUGUAGCACACUAUAGAAUGUACUUAUUGUGAUUAUUGUUUAUUUUCUCUGUCUCUCUGCUAGAAUUUAACUCCACAAGGGCAGGCAAGGACAUGGGCCUGUUUUGUCCAGGAUGUAUCCCGAGUAUCUAGAACGGUGUGGGCACGUAGUAGGGACUCAACAAAUAUUUGUUAAAUGAAUGAAUGAUCCACCCCUAAAUGUCUGUGGUAGUUUUAAAAUACCUUCACUAAUUCUGUGACACUGCUCUCUUCCAAAGCGGAGCUCAUACCCUCCUCAGCAGCGAGACCGACUCCCUUCUCUAAUGUGACUUCUGAGGCUGAGUCAUAAAAAGGACCGCUUUCACCUGGCUCUCUCACAGAUCACUCACACUGGGGGAAGUCAGCCACCUUGUAGUGAGGACAUUCAAGUAGCCUGAGAGGCCCAUGUGGGGAGAAAGUGAGGUCUCCAACGACAGCACUAACCUGCCAGCCAUGAUCCCAUAAGUGGACCAAGAGAAGAGGAAACUAUUCCAGCAUGCUAUCGCUGGCUCCUCCCAGCUCUGCUUAGAACUCAUCAUGGGCUGCUCUACGCUUGGCUGUCUGGUUCUUAUGAACAGCUAUGUCAGUAUCCCUACGUUGGAGAAAUGAUCAAGGAGAGUCUCCCUGGACACCACAUCCAUACAUUGAUGAUAAUAAAAGUAUUUAGAUUAAUGAUAGUAACCAUUUUGAGUGUCUGCUCUGGGCCAAGGCACUGUGCUAGGCACUUGCAUUUAUUAUUUCCUUUAAUCCUCUCAAUUACACCACUGGGGUAAGCAUUGUUAUGCUCAUUAUACAGAUAAGAAAACCAAAGUUUUAUUAAUUUAUUGAGCUCAAGUAAGUUGCUCAAGAUUACAGGGAGAGUAAGCAGUUGAGGCACAGAUUUGCAGCAUCAAUGUUUUUCCAAAAUCCAUAUCUUUUUCAGACGAUUUCAUUGCCUUAGGCCACGAUAGGCAGGGAAGAUACCCUGGACAGCUGGGGGUCUUCAUACAUGGAGACAGAAUUGAGAACAACUACUGUAAAUAUAAUAUUGUAAAGUUAAGUUAAUUAAUAUAUCUUUGCUUCCAUAACACAUUAUCUUUCAACACAACAGAGUGGAAUCACCUAGGGGAGAACUGACAUUUGUUGAGAAGAGGAAAUGCGUUAAGCACAUUGCAUACUGUAUCAGUCAAAAUGAAGUCAGAAAAACAGAAAUUAUGCUAGGUAUUUCAACCAGAGGGUAUUUAAUAUAAUGAGUGGAUUUCACAGGAGUUGGAACAUCCAAAAGGAGACAGUGAGUAAAUACAGAAAGCAACCUGAAGGCUGCAGGGGACAAAAGGAAAGACGUGGAACCAGAACCUAGGAAGGCAGAGGAAGGGCCACCACCUUAGGAGCUGGGCUGCUGCAGGGCCAUCGUGUACCUGGUACUGGACUGCCAAGGGGGCACUGUGUGGCUGGUGAGGGAACCUCUGAGAAAGUGGCUUGACACUGGUGGCAGCAGUGUCAAAAGAUGCCAGAGUUGUAACUGUCCAAAAGAAUGUGGAAGGAGGAAGAGAGUCCCUCUCUACUCCUGCCUCCCAGUCCCCCAGUUGUGCCUCCUGAUUGCAGACCCUGACUGGAAAUCAGCUAGCAAGGGAAUCUGGGAAAUAUAAUUGUCAGACUCCAAGCCCACAGCAUUACAAAUAAAAGUAUAGAAGUGUGUGCAUGGAACAGAGAGAUAAUAGAAAAUGACAAGCCCAUAUCAGUCAAUUCAUUGAGUCCUCUACCAAACUGUGACUAAAUAGAAGAACCAAAGUUCAAACAGGGAUCUAAUACCAGAAUUCGUGCUCUUGCAGUAUGUUUUAAACCCUUUAACUCAGUUUACAUUUAUACUUUGUCCUUGACUUUUUUUCUCUCAGCAUUUAUUUAGCACAAGCUAUGUGCCAGGUCCUGCGCUAAAUGCUUCAGCUAUGCUUAUCCUAUUUAAUUUUUGAAACAGUGCAGGUAAUGGUGAUGCAAAGUUGCCUGGUAAACAAUUGAAUGAGAAAACUAAAUAAGAAUACAAC